AAUUGAAGCAGAGGACAGUGGCGGACGGGUGAGUAACGCGUGAGGAACCUGCCUUUCAGAGGGGGACAACAGUUGGAAACGACUGCUAAUACCGCAUAAGAUUACAGUACCGCAUGAUACAGUGAUCAAAGGAGCAAUCCGCUGAAAGAUGGCCUCGCGUCUGAUUAGCUAGUUGGUGAGGUAACGGCCCACCAAGGCGACGAUCAGUAGCCGGACUGAGAGGUUGACCGGCCACAUUGGGACUGAGAUACGGCCCAGACUCC
rnacentral:rRNA from 1 species